ensembl:lncRNA
CACUUGUAGGAGCGUGAGAGGGCAGGCCAGUCAGCUCAUAUCAGUUGCAGGAAUGAAUCCACUGCAACUGGACAGAAAUCUCCCAUUGCAGCUGAUCUUGUUGCAUCUUCUCUCUGCCAUCAACUAACAUCUUUGUUUGGCCUCACUCUUCUGCUGUUAUUUUCCCACCUUGGAGUUAGCUAGCCAUGGACUGAAUCUUCUGAAACUCUGCAAGAGCUUGUGUGAGGAACCUGAGCUCUAGAAUGGAAUGCUGUCAAGAUGACUCCUUAAUUACAACCCUGUGGAGACUCUAAGCAGAGGAAUGGGCUAAGCUAUGCCUGAACCUCUGACCCAUAGAAGAAAACACAAGUUGGAAAAAGAAAAUGGAUCCUGAAGAAAUAUAGAAACAGAAACUGAAACCCUCUUUUAAUCUUAGAAAAGUCUAAGUCUGUAAAAUAAUUGGAACUUUGAAUUUUUUCUGUAUAAAUUUGAAGCUCUUAAAUUUUACUUUAUUGAGAGUUCUUAGAAACUCUGCACUAGAACUGAUACUAUGGCAACUUCAUUCAUAUGUCAUUGUUGAUUUUCUUUCCUAUAGUCCCAGAAAAGAAAAAGAUAUUUGUUCAACUCAAUAUUUUAAAUAAAGAAAAAAAUGUAAAUUAAAUAAAAU